GGGGAUGACGAGCUAUCGACGAACGUUAUUUCGACACUCUGCAGGCCGAGCUGAGCACGCUCGUAAAACAGGCUCACAUACAACAACUGCAAACGUUGUAACCAAGGUGAAGAACGUGUUCGCUUCGGCGUUCCGCGUCUCUUCUCCGGCUAUGGCUCUCGCUUAAAUUCAUUUAGGCUUUGACCACGCUCCCCGUUCCUCGCCCGAUGGAACGGUCCCGAGUGUCAUCCUUCGGGCUUGAUCUCCCGCGCUCACAACCCGCGGCAGAUGACAUUGCGGCUGUGUAGGCACGGGACGCUCGUCUGCUUUGAACCCCGCGCCGAAACACUGAGCAGACCAAGCCUGUGAACGAAGGGAUCGGGAACACGUCUCGGACGGGGGUGCGACUCCCCCCAUCUCCACCA
rnacentral:tmRNA from 1 species